ensembl:lncRNA
UGAUUGCAACAAAACCACUCAUAUCUGAGUUAGGGUGGGCUCUUUUUACUGACCAAUAAGCAACCAUCCAGAAGUCUCUAGCAACUGCCCAGAGUGCCUAGUAACUGCAAAGCAACAAAGCCACUCAGAACUUCUUAGCAACUGCAUAACAAUGCCCAGCAACCACACACAACAUAGCACAGCAUAGUGGCGGUGGCUUCUGCAUGGAUGUCAUGCAGUGUCGCAUGAUGCUGGAUUAUGAGCUGAUGCUUUCCAUGGAAAGAGGGGGGAGGCAGAUGGGAGGCAGACUGUGAUGUGGUCUGAUUUCAGCUCUGUGACAGCUUAAGUAUGUCUCUAUGUAAAGAUGACAUUAAUCUGGAUCCUGCUUUUACUCGUCUUCAGUGAACUUCUCUGCAUAAAGGAACGGUUCACUUAAAUCUAACAGAUCUAAAAGACUACAAGACGGUUUCUCACAGAAGCUUAGUUUAAAAAAUGAAGCAUGCACAAAAAAAGAAAAAAAAAGAAAAAUCUGAAUAAAAAAAGAACCAAAAUAAAAACAAAGACAAAACACUCAUUAACCUUGAUUAAAAAAAAUAAUAAUAAUAAUAAAAAUUGGUUACAAUUUGGCCUUUUGUAGUUGAAGAGACAUAUAUAAUUAUUUAUUAAAAAUAUGAAUUGUUUAUACUGAGAUAUAAAGUCAAAGAGCUUGUUGGGAAAUGUUCAACCGAAUCUCAUAAAAAAACAAAAAAAAAAAACCCAAACAUAACCCUUGAGUGAGAUAGUAUGAAUUCACGACUUUGCCACCAAUUCGCCAAACAUAAUAUAGUUAUGAAUUGCCAGAGUGUGUUGAAAAUGAUUGAAUUCAUAUGCUAAUCUAUGACUGCAGAAUUUAGUGUCUCGUGCGUAUCUAAACAGUGUGAGACAUUGUUGAGACCUCUUCUAACAAGCUUUAAGGGAGACACAUGCAAGGCUACAAAGAUCUUUAUCUCUGGAGAAAAAUCUGAGUAGCAGGAGACUUCAGUAAAGUCUCCAUUUGUUAUUAUCUUAUUGCAAAAUAGCUGAAGACAUUGCCAGAAGCUAAAAAAUGUGUCACUAGAAGACUCAAAGUUAUUUUUUUUCAGAACCAUAUGGAUAAGAGUUUAGGGCAGUCAAGUCGAGUAAAAAAAGAAAAUCUACGUGCCAAGUGUCAUGCUGUUAAAGUAAUAAUUACAAUAAAGUAAUGAUUAUUUACUCAUCAUCCGCUUUUUGUUAUGGGCCACAAAGUGAAAAUUACAAGUAAUGCACUCCUUAGCACAGAAUGAUGUCAGGAUAAUUUCAGAAAACUGAGUGUCACUCAUAUUUGCAAACUUUACCAGAGUAUUGGCAAGGUGUUCAGUGAGGUUGCUUCCAUACGUUACAUGGUG